GAUGAACGCUGGCGGCGUGCCUAAUACAUGCAAGUCGAGCGAACAGACGAGGAGCUUGCUCCUCUGACGUUAGCGGCGGACGGGUGAGUAACACGUGGAUAACCUACCUAUAAGACUGGGAUAACUUCGGGAAACCGGAGCUAAUCCCGGAUAAUAUAUUGAACCGCAUGGUUCAAUAGUGAAAGACGGUUUUGCUGUCACUUAUAGAUGGAUCCGCGCCGCAUUAGCUAGUUGGUAAGGUAACGGCUUACCAAGGCAACGAUGCGUAGCCGACCUGAGAGGGUGAUCGGCCACACUAGAACUGAGACACGGUCCAGACUCCUACGGGAGGCAGCAGUAGGGAAUCUUCCGCAAUGGGCGAAAGCUUGACGGAGCAACGCCGCGUGAGUGAUGAAGGUCUUCGGAUCGUAAAGCGUUGUUAUUAGGGAAAAACAAAUGUGUAAGUAACUAUGCACGUCUUGACGGUACCUAAUCAGAAAGCCACGGCUAACUACGUG
rnacentral:rRNA from 1 species